rnacentral:lncRNA from 1 species
GAUCUCCCCCAAAAUCACCACCCAUACGACCUCCAAAAUCACCACCACAUACACCUACCGGCACCAGACGCACCCCACCUUCAACCCUUCGUGCACCAGAUGCACCACACCUUCAACCGCCAUCUUCAUCCGCGACUCCGAAACCACCACAACUAGUCUUCAUCACCAACGACCCACCAACAUCCAAAAUUGGUAUCAUCAUUCCUAAUUUCUUUGUAAUUUCAGUAGAUUGUGUCAUUUUUUUAGUUUAACACACAUACAUUCUAGUCGAUUCGGUGGGUCUUGUGACCAUUUGAGGUUUUGAUUGUUUUUUGACUUUUUUUAGUAAAAAAAAAGUGAUGUUAGGGUUUUAGGUCCGGGUCCAAGUGUGGGUUGGGCUUGGUUCUUCAGGUUGUUGCAGGGGUAUGUGAUUCCCACACUUGGGCAGUCAUUUGGAUGGUUUUGGUGGUUGUGACGUCAGCCCUUAGUCAGAUCGAAAUCCGUUCAUUUGUUUGCACCAUGUCCAUCUUAAUGUACAUGUAGAAGGUGUGAACAUGAAUGAGUGUCUUCAGAUCUUAAUGUACUAGUAGGGAGAUGCCUUUAUAUAUUGUGUGGGUAACUUUGCUCAUUGCUUCUCUUCUUUACAUUACAUGUACAAGUUCUACGAACAUGAAUGAUUUUCUUUAGAUCUUAAUGUAGGAGUAGAGAGAUGCCUUUAUAUAUUGUGUGGUAACUUUAAGAAUAUUUAAAUGUCUAUUUGUAUUUGUAACAAAAGAAUUAAUUAACUACAAUAGGUGAAUGAUGAAGUAUUCAACUUUUUAAGAAUUCUAGACAUUUUCAUUGAUCUAAGUAUACGAGUGAAGAAGUUUAUGAGGUAUCUACGAUGUUCUUAGCAGGGUAACGCGGUCUGAUUUGAAGAAAUUGUUGUCGGAAUUGGAAUUGGAGUAUACUAAGAAAAUUCGAUUGAAUUUCAAUAUUCUUUAAAAGCACACGGUUAGCGCAUACCAAGUGUUUGAUUUAACGUGAGUCUAUUGUUUCAAUGUGAAAAUGGCAAUGCGUUUGAUUAUCAUCCAUAGUGUUUUAAGUUGGUGUUUGGAAACUUGAAUUUGUAUUCAAAAUGAUGUAAUUCGAAACUUUAAAUUAUUAAAUAAACUCUUUCUCAUAAACUUAUUACAGCCAGUGAAAACUAAAGCAAAUUUUGAUAAAUUGGUAUAACUAGGGUUAAGACCCGCCCGUAACGGGUGCGGGUACAUCGUAAAAAUUGAAUAGAUUAGUUCAAACGUUAUAUGAUGCAUUAACUAUAUGAAAACACACAUUUCAACGUAUCUAGUUGAACACAAUUUAAUAUGUAUAAGCAUUGUGAUUGGAUCAAACGUAAAGUAAAUCAAAUUUAUAUCGAACAAUCAUAACGUAUUAUAUGUGACCCAAUUAAUACAUAGAAAACGUAACGGAUAUGAAGGGAAAUAUGCACAUGUAGUCGAAAGGGAUUAGUUAGAGCUUUCGAAAAAAAGGGAGAAAAAGAAACCAUAAUUUGACUUCACUCGGUUCGAAACAAACUUUACGAAACAUACAUAAAAUAAACACGAAAACAUAUUAUAUUUGACAUGAAUCAUUUCCCAAAGAAUUUACGUCGAAACGUAGAACAAUUUGAAUUUAUACGAAAACGUACAUAAGAAUAUGCACGUAAAAAUGGUUUCUUCAAACGAAAACGUAUUAUAUUUGACCUGACUCGUCUAUAAAAGAAGUUUACGUUGGGACGUAGAACAAAUCAUAUUUAUACAUACCCGUACAUAAAAUAUGCACGUAAAAAAUAGUUUAUAAGUAAAGAAAAUAUAGGGGUAAACUCAAACAAAAUAUUAGUAAAAAAUUUAAUAUGUUAAAAACGUUCGUAAAACCGUGCCAAGUAGCACCAAUGCCACAACCACAUCGACUCUCAAUAUCGUAAAAAUAAAAUAGAUAAAACCGUAAAAAUUACACUAAACGAAAAGCAGACUAAAAUCAUUGAAUCACGCAAACCCGUUACAGUGUAUUAAUGCAAAAAAGUUAAUCAGAAACGUAAAACAUAGAAAAUAACAACUUAGUCGAUCUAGGACCCGCCCGUUGCGGCAAACUUUUCAAAAGGGAAAUAAUGGACGCGUUGCGAAGG